GUAAAUUUCUCUAUGUAUAUUAUCCUGUGACAACAUCCACCACAUGGGGUGGUCCUCAGAGUCUUGGCUGAGGCUGGAGGGGACCCUAGGAAUAUCGGGAAAGCUAUGCCGUUGUCAGCCUUCAAGGGGUUGCCCCCAAGCCUCUUUAAGCUUCCUCCUCUCCUCUCUUGUGCUGAGACUGUGACCAGCCAGUCAUGCAAAUUCCAGGGUGAGUCUGGCCAGCUCAGGCUCAUUAGCUUUAUCAGGCAAUCUAUUUUCUGGGGUAAAUACAAUGUGUCUGUGUGUGUAUGUGUAGAAGGCAGUUUGGAGGAGUCUUGGCCCAUGAGAUUCUGUGAGGCUGCUGCACAGCCUCCACAUGGCAUAGGUCUCCCCCAAUGAGGGGAACUCUGUUUUAAUUCUGAGCUGCUCACCUUAACAACCCCCUACCCAACUGUACUUCCCAGACUUGACUGUCCACCCUUCAGGUUCAUCUUUACAUUUUCUUUUAUUUGGACUUGACGUUGGUCCAAAUUUCUUCCAUUCAACCUCUUGAUUAAAA
rnacentral:lncRNA from 1 species